CAGCUAGUUGGCGGGGUAAAAGCCCACCAAGGCGACGAUCCGUAGCUGGUCUGAGAGGACGGCCAGCCACACUGGAACUGAGACACGGUCCAGACUCCUACGGGAGGCAGCAGUGGGGAAUUUUGGACAAUGGGCGAAAGCCUGAUCCAGCCACGCCGCGUGAGUGAAGAAGGCCUUCGGGUUGUAAAGCUCUUUCGGCGGGGACGAAAAGGUCUGUGUUAACACCACGGAUCCAUGACGGUACCCGCAGAAGAAGCACCGGCUAACUACGUGCCAGCAGCCGCGGUAAUACGUAGGGUGCAGGCGUUAAUCGGAAUUACUGGGCGUAAAGCGUGCGCAGGCGGUUUGCUAAGACAGGUGUGAAAUCCCCGGGCUUAACCUGGGAACUGCGCUUGUUACUGGCAAGCUAGAGUGUGGCAGAGGGGGGUGGAAUUCCAGGUGUAACCAUGGAAUGCGUAGAGAUCU
rnacentral:rRNA from 1 species